rnacentral:rRNA from 1 species
AAAUUGAAGAGUUUGAUCAUGGCUCAGAUUGAACGCUGGCGGCAGGCCUAACACAUGCAAGUCGAACGGUAGCAGGAAUCAGCUUGCUGAUU